rnacentral:rRNA from 1 species
AUUGAACGCUGGCGGCAGGCCUAACACAUGCAAGUCGAACGAGUGGCGGACGGGUGAGUAAUGUCUGGGAAACUGCCUGAUGGAGGGGGAAAACUACUGGAAACGGUAGCUAAUACCGCAUAACAUCCGAUGAGCCCAGAUGGGAGUAGAUUGUUGGUGGGGUAACGGCUCACCAAGGCGACGAUCCCUAGCUGGUCUGAGAGGAUGACCAGCCACACUGGAACUGAGACACGGCCCAGACUCCUACGGGAGGCAGCAGUGGGGAAUAUUGCACAAUGGGCGCAAGCCUGAUGCAGACAUGCCGCGUGUAUGAAGAAGGCCUUCGGGUUGUAAAGUACUUUCAGCGGGGAGGCGUUACCCGCCGAAGAAGCACCGGCUAACUCCGUGCCAGCAGCCGCGGUAAUUC